rnacentral:rRNA from 1 species
AUGAAGCUUAAGAUCAACAAGGCGUGCGACCUCGCCUCCAUCUCCGUCCUCCCUCCCCGGAGGACCAGAGGGAGCAGCGGUGGCGGUGGUGGUGGCGGGACGAGCGCGCCUGCUGCUGCUUCCGCGGCUCAGCAGCAGCGGUCCCAGUCGAUGUCGCAGAAGUCCUUCUCGCAAGGCAUCGGCGCGUCCUUCUCACAGGGCAUAGGCAGCGGAGGCGCGUCCUUCUCCCAGGGCAGCGGCGGCGGAGGCGCCGCGUUCUCUCAGGGCGGUGGAGGCGGAGGCGCGGCGUUCUCUCAGGGCGGAGGUGGCGGAGGCGCGGCUUUCUCUCAGGGCGGAGGUGGCGGAGGCGCGUCCUUCUCGCAGGGCGGUGGCAGCGCGUCCCUCUUGCACGCGCAGUCGCAGCUCUCGCAGGCCUCCCUCGACGAGAGCCUCCUCAGCCUCCUCUCGCAGGCCCCCGCUCGCGACCAGAGAUUUGCCAUGCAAGAGGACCCGUCGAAGCGGAUGUCUUCGUAUCUUGCCAGUUCAGCUUCUUCGUGUAUGCGCGACGAAUCUCAGCUGCAACUUGCAAAAAUACCAACCAACCCUAUCCACCGCUGGAGCCCCUCUUUUCUGGAUAGCAGAUGUCAGGUUAAUGAGGAUGUUGAGCGCAAAUUUCUGCAUCUGGCAAGUUCAGUACAGAAGAUGGGAAUGAUAUUAGACUCAGUGCAAAAUGAUGUGAUGCAGUUAAACAGAGGCAUGAAGGAGGCAUCACUAGACUCUGGUAGCAUUCAGAAAAAGUUUGUGCUCCUAGAGGACUCUCUAAAGCAAAUUCUUAAGGGACAAGAUGAUCUCAAAGCACUCCUCAAGGGAAGCACGAAAAGUAAUCCUGACCAGCUGGGUAUUCUCACCCGCAAACUGGAUGAGAUAUCCUCGAUACUUUCAGUCUUGCCAAAGCAAGUUCAAACAGAAUUCGAGCAAUUCAAGGGUGACAUCUUUAGAUUUUUUACAAAAGAGAUGGAGGGGGUCGUUAGAGCUGUCAGAUCUCUCGAUAGUAGGCUGCCCGGUGUGAUGCAAAUGCUGGCAGACCAGAGCUGCACCACCAAUGCAAAACCCCUGAUGAACCACACAGCAGCAGAAAAUGAAAGCCCCCUGAUGAACCAGACACAAGUAGCAGAAGGAAGCCCCCUGAUGAACCAAGGACCAGUAGCAGACAGAAGGCCGCAGAAGAAACCGACGGCAGUAGCAAAUGGAAGGCCCAAGAGGAAGAACCAAACAGCAGUAGCAAAUGGAAGGCCCCAGAGGAAGAACCAAGCAGCUGGAGCAAAUUGGAGGCCCCACAGGAAGAAACCAACAGAAAUAGCAGCAAAUUCAAGGCCCCAGAGGCACCUCACACGAGUGGCAAAUGGAAGGCCCCAGGUGAAACAAACAGAAGCAGCAGAUGGAAGGUCGCAGACGAACCAGAAACCCGAGGCAAAUGGGAAAGCCCUGAUACCAGUAACAAAACCCAUUCCUGUGCCCGUGGUUUAUCAUCGAAAGGCGGUUGAUCUGAAGCCAAGGGUGGAACAGUGGAUGGUACCGAAACUGGCUGGCCCAAGCUACAGCAGGCCAGCGCCACCUAAAGAGCAAGAGUUGGCCAUUCAGAAGGUCAAUACAGAGGCGCCAAUCAACAAGAUGCAGGCGACGCUGGGCAUUCUAAUCGACUCGGACGACGACGGCGACUACGAGGGGGCUGACAGCGACUGGAGCGCCUCCUGCGUGAUCCUGAAGUUGGAAGCAGGGUGUCCGGGUGAUGAGGUGGUGGCGGAGGAGGCGACGAGCGAGGGGGAGGGGGAGGCGCUAGAGAUCCUGAGGCGGGCGAGGAAGCGGCGGCGGAGGGAGGCCAACGCCAACGCCAACGCCACCGUGCUCGUCCAAGACCAACGCUGA